UGGGGAAUAUUGCACAAUGGGCGCAAGCCUGAUGCAGCCAUGCCGCGUGUGUGAAGAAGGCCUUCGGGUUGUAAAGCACUUUCAGCGAGGAGGAAGGUGGUGAGCUUAAUACGCUCAUCAAUUGACGUUACUCGCAGAAGAAGCACCGGCUAACUCCGUGCCAGCAGCCGCGGUAAUACGGAGGGUGCAAGCGUUAAUCGGAAUUACUGGGCGUAAAGCGCACGCAGGCGGUUUGUUAAGUCAGAUGUGAAAUCCCCGGGCUCAACCUGGGAACUGCAUUUGAAACUGGCAAGCUAGAGUCUCGUAGAGGGGGGUAGAAUUCCAGGUGUAGCGGUGAAAUGCGUAGAGAUCUGGAGGAAUACCGGUGGCGAAGGCGGCCCCCUGGACGAAGACUGACGCUCAGGUGCGAAAGCGUGGGGCAGCAAACAGGAUUAGAUACCCUGGUAGUCCAGCGCUGUAAAACGAUGUCGAUUUUGGAGGUUGUGCCCUUGAGGCGUGGCUUCCGGAGCUAACGCGUUAAAUCGACCGCCUGGGGAGUACGGACGCAAGGUUAAAACUCAAAUGAAUUGAC
rnacentral:rRNA from 1 species